UACAGAGGUCUCAACCGUUGUUCGGAUUCAUUGGGCGUAAAGGGUGCGUAGGCGGUCGCGCAAGUCGGAUGUGAAAUCUCAGGGCUCAACCCUGAAACUGCAUUCGAUACUGCGUGGCUAGAGUGCUGGAGGGGAGACUGGAAUUUACGGUGUAGCAGUGAAAUGCGUAGAUAUCGUAAGGAAGACCAGUGGCGAAGGCGAGUCUCUGGACAGCACUGACGCUGAGGCACGAAGGCCAGGGAGGCAAACGGG
rnacentral:rRNA from 1 species